GUUAGAGGAAAACUCACUAGGAGUUUGAGACCUAGAAGAGCCACGAGAUGAGACAGACUCAUCGUCGCCAACAGCUGGAGCUGCGCCAGCGCUUGGCUUAUCCCUAGCAAAAGGAGGAAUAUACUUCCUAGGUCUGCUGAUGUUUGUUUUUUGCAAUUUUUCAGUCACAGAACCAACUGAAUCUACUUGUUGCUGUACAUUGUCGCUCAUAAUAUUUUUUGUAUUUCUGAGUUGAAGUGUUUGGUUGAGGUUAGGUUAAGUUGGCCAUUAAAUGCUACCAAAUACACGAUGGGACUGCCCUUUUUAACCCCUCAGCAAAUUAGAUAUGUCAACG